UACGGGGGGAGCAAGCGUUGUUCGGAUUUACUGGGCGUAAAGGGCGCGUAGGCGGCCACCGCAAGUCGACUGUGAAAUCUCCGGGCUUAACUCGGAAAGGUCAGCCGAUACUGCGGGGCUAGAGUAUGGUAGGGGCAGAGGGAAUUCCUGGUGUAGCGGUGAAAUGCGUAGAGAUCAGGAAGAACAUCGGUGGCGAAGGCGCUCUGCUGGACCAUAACUGACACUCAGGGACGAAAGCUAGGGGAGCGAACAGG
rnacentral:rRNA from 1 species